rnacentral:lncRNA from 1 species
UUUUUUUGAAGGUAUGUAUAUGUGCAGCAAAUCCCACAACAUGUGAUUAAGUCGUGUUUCUUAACGGGACCUAGUAGGAUAAAGCUGGUUGACUCAGACACAAGAGAAGUGUAUGAUUGUGAAGUUCACACUGCAGAAAGGCAAUACUAUGUAGAACAGUUCAUUGGGCAUGGCUGAUACGAGUUUGCUAAGAGUAGAAGUCUUAAAAGAGGAGAUAAUGUGGGAUUCAACCUUCGUCAGCCUCUAGUUACACGUUCGAUUGUGACCGUAUUAAACUGUUAAACGUAGGUUUCAGGAAUUGGAAGAUGAAUGAUGAAAUUGUAAUGUGUGUGCCGGUAGUUGAAAUAAGGUUGUUGAAUGUUUAAUGUGGUUUUUGUGAUGUAUGUUUUGAAGUACAAUUGUAAUUUUAUCUUUUAGUUGGAUAUGUAGUAGGAACCUGUUUUGGCCAAGUAUUAAGAUUAAUGUAAUAUGAAUUAUGGCAAUGCUGCGGAUGUGUACCUUGGAACACCAAUGUUGUAUUCAUCCUGCAUAUGCCAUUUUAAAUCUAAUGUUCUAGGACUAUGCAGAGACAUACAUGUAAUGCAGUUUGGUUUGAAUUUAAUGUGUUGUUUGUUUAUUAAUAUUUUGUUCUGGUUGGAUAGGUAUGGUUUGUAAGAAUAUGUUUUGUUUGAGUAAAUAUAAAGUGUUUU